GAAUACCGGUGGCGAAGGCGGCCCCCUGGACAAAGACUGACGCUCAGGUGCGAAAGCGUCGGGGAGCAAACAGGAUUAGAUACCCUGGUAGUCCACGCCGUAAACGAUGUCGACUUGGAGGUUGUGCCCUUGAGGCGUGGCUUCCGGAGCUAACGCGUUAAGUCGACCGCCUGGGGAGUACGGCCGCAAGGUUAAAACUCAAAUGAAUUGACGGGGGCCCGCACAAGCGGUGGAGCAUGUGGUUUAAUUCGAUGCAACGCGAAGAACCUUACCUACUCUUGACAUCCAGAGAACUUAGCAGAGAUGGUUUGGUGCCUUCGGGAACUCUGAGACAGGUGCUGCAUGGCUGUCGUCAGCUCGUGUUGUGAAAUGUUGGGUUAAGUCCCGCAACGAGCGCAACCCUUAUCCUUUGUUGCCAGCGGUUCGGCCGGGAACUCAAAGGAGACUGCCAGUGAUAAACUGGAGGAAGGUGGGGAUGACGUCAAGUCAUCAUGGCCCUUACGAGUAGGGCUACACACGUGCUACAAUGGCGCAUACAAAGAGAAGCGACCUCGCGAGAGCAAGCGGACCUCAUAAAGUGCGUCGUAGUCCGGAUUGGAGUCUGCAACUCGACUCCAUGAAGUCGGAAUCGCUAGUAAUCGUAGAUCAGAAUGCUACGGUGAAUACGUUCCCGGGCCUUGUACACACCGCCCGUCACACCAUGGGAGUGGGUUGCAAAAGAAGUAGGUAGCUUAACCUUCGGGAGGGCGCUUACCACUUUGUGAUUCAU
rnacentral:rRNA from 1 species